CGCGGGGGCAACCCUGGCGGCGAGCGGCGAACGGGUGAGUAACACAUCGGAACGUACCCUGUCGUGGGGGAUAACACAUCGAAAGAUGUGCUAAUACCGCAUACGACCUGAGGGUGAAAGCAGGGGAUCGCAAGACCUUGCGCGAUAGGAGCGGCCGAUGUCGGAUUAGCUAGUUGGUGAGGUAAAGGCUCACCAAGGCGACGAUCCGUAGCUGGUCUGGGAGGAUGAUCAGCCACACUGGAACUGAGACACGGUCCAGACUCC
rnacentral:rRNA from 1 species